UACGAACUGUGCAAACGUUAUUCGGAAUCACUGGGCUUACAGGGUGCGUAGGCGGCCUGACAAGUAGGGUGUGAAAGCCCCCGGCUCAACCGGGGAAUGGCGCCCUAAACUGUCGGGCUGGAGUGAGAUAGGGGUGUGCGGAACUUCCGGUGGAGCGGUGAAAUGUGUUGAUAUCGGAAGGAACGCCGGUGGCGAAAGCGGCACACUGGAUCUCAACUGACGCUGAGGCACGAAAGCCAGGGGAGCGAACGGG
rnacentral:rRNA from 1 species